rnacentral:lncRNA from 1 species
AUCACCUGGGGUCACCUGGGGGUUACCUGGGGUCACCUGGGGAUCACCAUUGUCACCUGGGAUCACCUGGGGGUAACCUGGGGUCACCUGGGGGUUACCUGGGGGUCCCUAUGGGUCUCCAGUGUCACUUGGAGGUCACUUGGAGGUCACCUGGGGUCCCCAUUGUCACCUGGGGGUCACCUGGGGUCCUCACUGUCACCUGGGGACACCUGUGUGUCACCUGGGGGUUAGCUGGGGAUCACCUGGGGGUCACCAUUGUCACCUGGGGGUCAACAUUUUCACCUGGGGUCACCAUUGUCACCUGGGGUCACCUGGGGUCCCCAUUGUCACCUGGGGUCACCUGGGGUCACCUGGUGUCACCUGGUGGUCACCCGGGGAUUACCUGGGGGUCACCCGGGGUCCCCAUUGUCACCUGGGGUUACCUGGGAUCCUCACUGUCACCUGGGGAUUACCUGGGGGUCACCUGGGGACACCUGUGUGUCACCUGGGGAUUACCUGGGGGUCACCUGGGGUCCCUACUGUCAUCUGGGGGUCACCUGGGGGUUACCUGUGUGUCCUCAAUGUUCUUGUGUUCCCCUGUGGUGUCCCCAGUGUCACCUGAGGGCUACCUGGGUGUCCCUGGGUGUCUCACCUGUGUCCCCUGGGUGUCCCCUGGGUGUCCCCUGGGUGUCCCUGGGUGUCCCCGUGUGUCCCACCUGUGUCCCACCUGUGGCAGGUGCGCUGACACCCCCGAGGAGCAGUGGGAUUUCGAGACCAUCCGCACGGUGGAUCCGUGGGGGACGGAGCUGGGCCGGCGGUUCCGGGGGGGGCUGCGGCGCUGGAACAUGACGGUG